rnacentral:snRNA from 1 species
AGGAAAUUUUGCUCUUUUAGUAUUUGUCUAGCAGGUCUUUAGAAACUGAAGGCCCAC